UCCGAGUUGACCCCGGCAGUUUUCUACGAGUCCCCGGCAUUAUCCGCUGGCAACAUAGAAUAAGGGUUGCGCUCGUUGCGGGACUUAACCCAACAUCUCACGACACGAGCUGACGACAGCCAUGCACCACCUGUGCAAGGCCCCGAAGGACACCGUAUCUCUACGGCUUUUCCCUGCAUGUCAAGCCCAGGUAAGGUUCUUCGCGUUGCUUCGAAUUAAGCCACAUGCUCCGCCGCCUGUGCGGGUCCCCGUCAAUUCCUUUGAGUUUUAGCCUUGCGGCCGUACUCCCCAGGCGGGGUGCUUAACGCGUUAGCUUCGACACAGAGCCCGUGAACGAGGCCCCACAUCUAGCACCCAUCGUUUACGGCGUGGACUAC
rnacentral:misc_RNA from 1 species